GGAGCGAACCCGAGGUGACUCAAGUAAAUUGAAUCCAGAGAUGUCCACUAUGGACAUUUUGUUGCUGAGUUCCGGAUUGGAUGGAUAUGUGCACUGCCCCUUUGCAUAAGAAUUGCCGUGCUGAAAACCCACGCACGCAUUGAUAUUCUGAACAGAUAUCACAAAACACCUGGCGCUUUUGCCAUUGAUCUGUGCCUAUCAGGAUUUGUCCAACAAUCCUUUCCGCCAUAAAACUGUGUGCCUAUCAGGAUUUGUCCGAGACUUCUUUGGUAGUGUACCAGGCAAUGCACAUGCUGCUAGAAGGAAUCCACCGUGGAUUUCAGUUCUCUAGGCAGUAGAAGGCAUGUUUUAACUGACAGUAGCAACUCGGUUAACGACUGCUGCAGGGUGCUGCGGUCGAGUUGCGUGGGGCGGACUUUGACUGGGACAAUUGGGCGGGGCUGCCGGCUGCUGAGCUGGCGGCACAGAGGGCGGCCACAGCGGCGCUGCUACGGGACGAGAGCCGGCCGAGCAUGUUCACGCGCAUGGGAAGCUGCUUGGGACGCGCGUCUGGGAUGUCCAAGAAAGUCGAAGCCAAGCCUGAGCAGGGUGCGCUUGCUCCUGCCCGGUGCAUUUCCUGAAGCUGCAUGUGCUCUUCCAAGACGAUCAUGCUGGUCAAGAAGGAGCUAAAGACGCCUUGUUCUCAAGCAUCAAAGUUGGCAGUGUGGAAAGUAGAUGCUACGCCAAUACCAGUAAUAUAGGGGUAUUGUUUGUGCGCUGCGUACAGGUAGUGAGGUGAAGCUGGAAAUGAACGGGGCCCGCUCAGAUGCGAA
rnacentral:lncRNA from 1 species